AGGAACAUUCUGUGGAACGG
rnacentral:miRNA from 1 species